CUCUAUAGAGGGCUUUGUAGGA
rnacentral:miRNA from 1 species